GUAACCCUGUAAAGAAGCUUGAGAUAGGUUCUUUGAGGGCAAGAGACCACUGGAAAGAGACACCCAACCAAGAAGGCACCAGAUGCCCAGUGUGUGUGUAGGGUUUUGGAUGGACCAUCUGGCCUGCCUUACUAGAGGCACCAGAUAACUGCAGCUAAGUAUAUGACUCAGCAGAUGCAGCUGCAUUUCUGACAAGAGUUCUUGGCCACCUCUGCUCUGUCUCCAUCCAGAAUAGUUCUUGUGGGGCACACUACUCAGAUAUGAUAUAAAGGUAUUGGAAAGAAAACCUCUCUUAUGGAAAUAGCAACAAAUUCCAAACUAUCUGGGUAGCACAAGCAAUUUACUCUCCUUCAACUUAAAGAAUUGUUGCUUUAUGGCCAUUUUCCUUGAGUUUAUUGAUUUCAUAUGCAGUUUUUUUACAAUGACAUAAUGCAUCUGGGCUUCAUGCACAGAGACAGAAAGGAUAACUAACAUUGGUGUCAUCUGUCAACCCAAAGUAAUCAAUGGCACCUGGUCUCUACUUAGAAGUGCAAAGCAUCAAGGAGCAAAGUCUCUUCAAUCAAAGUGCCUCAAGGACAAGAAAGGCAUUCUAUUUCACAGAUCACUGUAGACAUGCCAGGCAUUCCAAGAAAUGUAAGUCU